UGGGAACAGUUGUAGAUUCUCCAUUGGACUUCUUCUCAUGAAGAUUAACAAAGAAGGAGAGGAGAGCAUCAUUAGCAGAUGAGCUGCUUGCUGAUCAAAACCUUGUAGCCUAUAGGAAGCGGAAGGUUCGAGAAAUCGAAGAACAAAACAAACCAGCUGGGAAUGAAAAUUGGAAGAUUAAAGGCGGGAGUUCCCGGAAGCGAGCAAAAGAAAAGAGGAAUUGCUGAAUUUCCACCCUUUUUAAGAUGUAGACACUCUCCUAAAUGCUUUGAUCAGUUUAGAAUUAUUAUCAUUAUUUGAAAAUAUCCUAGUUAUCUGUAAAACCUAUUGAUGCUUUAGAAAAUGUUUAUUUUAUGGCUGAGUUGA